rnacentral:rRNA from 1 species
CAGAACCUUACCCGCGUUUGACAUGCCCUGUUUGGUUACCAGAGAUGGUUUCCUUCAUUUAGUUGGCAGGUGCACAGGUGCUGCAUGGCUGUCGUCAGCUCGUGUCGUGAGAUGUUGGGUUAAGUCCCGCAACGAGCGCAACCCUUAUCCUUAGUUGCCAGCACGUUUGGGUGGGCACUCUAAGGAAACUGCCGGUGCUAAGCCGGAGGAAGGCGGGGAUGACGUCAAGUCCUCAUGGCCCUUACACGCGGGGCUACACACGUGCUACAAUGGCAGUGACAAUGGGAUAAUCCCAAAAAGCUGUCUCAGUUCAGAUUGUCCUCUGCAACUCGAGGGCAUGAAGUUGGAAUCGCUAGUAAUCGCGGAUCAGCAUGCCGCGGUGAAUACGUUCCCAGGCCUUGUACACACCGCCCGUCACACCAUGGGAGUUGGAUUCACCCGAAGGCGGUGCGCUAAC